UAGGGAAUCUUCCACAAUGGACGAAAGUCUGAUGGAGCAACGCCGCGUGAGUGAAGAAGGUUUUCGGAUCGUAAAGCUCUGUUGUAAGAGAAGAACGUGUGUGAGAGUGGAAAGUUCACACAGUGACGGUAACUUACCAGAAAGGGACGGCUAACUACGUGCUAG
rnacentral:rRNA from 1 species